UCUGCACUCUGCACAGCAGGCUGCUGCUUCCCAAAUGACAAAUUCGAAGUUUCUUUUAAAAAAAUGCACAUCUGCCGUAGCUCGUAGGUUUUAUCCUAAUUGAAGAACAAGUACCUGAUGAGUGAUGAAGUGAAUUUGGUCAUUCAACUGCAGUUUCAAGUUAAAGUUACUGCUGAAGCUAGGUAUUCUCGGUUUGCUUAUCUUGUUCGUGGCAAUGAUCAUGUGGCCUGAAACAGCUCUACAUUUUUCCAAAAUGUCGUCUCUUGUUGCAUGUACCGGGUGUACGAUUCGUCACAUGCAGAAAUACUUCAGAACACCUGGUGAAGUCUGAGCUUCUUCAUUGCAGUCCAAUGUGCACAUGGAUUUGUUGCAGCUAGCUGGCGAAAGGUGUUCCUCUUGCAGUUGCAGGCUUGCUACCUGUACCAGUUGUAGCUUUCGUCACAGGCAUUGAAGUACUUAUGUUGGAAAACUUUUUUAAAGUUUAUGUAGUUGCUGUUGCAACUAACAAGCAACAGCCUAUAAUUUCUACAUGGCAAUUUCAUCUGAUCAUGUGGCCUGAGCAGCUGAACAUUUUGCCAAGUCGUCUCUUUUUCCUGUACCAGCUUCACGUUUGUCAGAAACACUUCAGAACAAUUCAGGAUUAACACCCUGGUGGAGUUUGAGCUUCUUUGUUGCUGCCCAACUUACACAUGGAUUUGACGCAGCCAGCUGAGGGCUUUAACUCCUGUUUGGCAUUUUUGUUCGCGUAGUUGCAGUCCGAUGUAGCACGUUGUUGCAGCGGUGCUGCUGGUGAAAGAGCUUUCUACAUCAAAUUCAAUUGGCCGUUCCUUGGUGCUGGUUUCGUGUUACCGAAAUUGCAUCAUUAUAUUGUUAAAUUGUCAUUGUGACUAUGCAGUUUACCGUUAAUAAGUUCAGAAGCAACAAAAACAAAUAUGGGAUGUUUAUGUCAACAAAUAAUAAACAUGUUUCCGGGAUUGGGAAAGGAAAGUGGAGGAUGGAUGGGGGAGGGAGGAUAUUUCUUGUUGGGAUAAAAAUUCAGUUAAUCUAUAACGCUACAAAUGUAUCCCUACCAAUUAAUCUCCAACCCCCAUAAACAUAAACCUUCUAAUCCUUCAAAUCCCGAAAACAUACACCUACCAUCCCUUAAAUUUAUACCCUUAACCCUAUAAACCAAUAUUAAACCUUAA
rnacentral:lncRNA from 1 species